UUCUAACUGCUUCUUUAGUCUGAGCAACAGUCUAACAAGCCAAAGGGAUUCAACUGACACUGAGAUGAAACAGAGAGAAGCAGCCAAUCAGUGGAGAAGCAGCUGAUAGUUUUACAGGAGAAAUGAUGUAAAUCAGUGGUUCCCAACCUGAGGGUCAGGACCCCCACUAGUGGUCACCAAAGCUUCAUGGGGGGUCUGUAGGUCGGCCUAUAUCUCAGCAUCUGGUUCACUUCUGUGAAGAAAAGUCAAUGUAAAGUAAACUGUCUAAUAGAUCAAUGACCAAACAUCAGGGACAAAAAAACAGUGAAUUUGUCCAAAAAGAAGCAUAUGAAGUAUUUAUGAUUGUUAAAAUGAUAAAAGAUACAUAACACAGACAAACUGUAUAAAAAGUUCCCUAAACAGGAAAUAAUCUGCUCAGAAUUCAUCAGAAUCAACUUCAACUUCUUGCAGUUACUGAGUUCAAUAUUUGGGUUGAUUGUACAGUUUUGGAUAUAAUAUGAAAUAUGUAUAAAAUAUGUCACUCAGUCAGGGGUCGUCAGUUUACUCUGAUAGAAAAAGGUUGGGAACCACUGAUGUAAAGGAUGAAUGAGUGAUGAUGAGUUCUCAGUGCUGAUCAGUGAUUGGACUGAUGCUUUCAGCUCUGCUCUCAGUGUUUCCUCUACAGAUGAAGGUAGAAAGUCUCUGGGAGCUGAUGUGGAUGUGAAUUCAGCAGCAGCUGCCAAGGUUGCUGUGUCUGUGUGAAGGUGUGGGCUCUGCUAUGGAUCAGUGUGAGGACAGAGAGGAGGGAGUCCCUCCCUCUAAAAGCACUCUGUGUGGGGAACAUGACACAAGGACCAAAGCUCAGAGGUGAGAUGAGGAUCUCUAACUGUCCAUGACUCUUCUCCAUGUCACAAAGGCUUUGAUUCUCCAUUUGAAACAAAGACAUUUAUCUGAGCUAAAGUACAUAGCUGUCAGUAUUCAAACAGGGCUGGACAAUCUGAUCUCAAAUCAGUAUCAGGAGAAACAUUCAGCUUCAUAAUGAGAAUUGUAACAGUAACAUGUGUUUGAAUCAAUCAGAGCAGAUUCCUUCCUCAUGUUGCUCACUGCUGAUGUUUGUCCUGAUUCAUUCCAGUCUG
rnacentral:lncRNA from 15 species